UUUCCGUAGGUGAACCUGCGGAAGGAUCAUUACAGAGUUCAUGCCCUCACGGGUAGAUCUCCCACCCUUGAAUAUUUAUACCUUAGUUGCUUUGGCAGGCCGUGGAAACACCGUGGGCUCCGGCUUAUGCGUGCCUGCCAGAGGAAACAAACUCUGUUUUUAGUGAUGUCUGAGUACUAUAUAAUAGUUAAAACUUUCAACAACGGAUCUCUUGGUUCUG
rnacentral:misc_RNA from 1 species